rnacentral:rRNA from 1 species
AUUGAACGCUGGCGGCAGGCCUAACACAUGCAAGUCGAGCGGCAGCGGGAAAGUAGCUUGCUACUUUUGCCGGCGAGCGGCGGACGGGUGAGUAAUGCCUGGGGAUCUGCCCAGUCGAGGGGGAUAACAGUUGGAAACGACUGCUAAUACCGCAUACGCCCUACGGGGGAAAGGAGGGGACCUUCGGGCCUUUCGCGAUGGGAUGAACCCAGGUGGGAUUAGCUAGUUGGUGGGGUAAUGGCUCACCAAGGCGACGAUCCCUAGCUGGUCUGAGAGGAUGAUCAGCCACACUGGAACUGAGACACGGUCCAGACUCCUACGGGAGGCAGCAGUGGGGAAUAUUGCACAAUGGGGGAAACCCUGAUGCAGCCAUGCCGCGUGUGUGAAGAAGGCCUUCGGGUUGUAAAGCACUUUCAGCGAGGAGGAAAGGUUGUUGGCUAGUACCCAGCAACUGUGACGUUACUCGCAGAAGAAGCACCGGCUAACUCCGUGCCAGCCGCCGCAGUAA